AAUUGAGAACUAGCAAAUCUGAUUUCUUUUGUUUCACUCUUUGUUGCACUUGGUUCAGAAUAUGAACCAAUGGUAUUACCCCUUCCAUUUACUUCCAAAGCCGUAAGCUAUAGAAAAGAACGCAUGACAGACCACAAAAUUUAUACACUACAUCCAUCUCCUUCUCUCCCUACAAAUCGUGAAAUCCCCAAGAGGCAAAACAUCAAGGAACGUGUAUCUCUUCCUCUAUACAAACCGUAAACUGUUUAGAGGACCACCCACCCAUUUAACACACAUUUCUUCUCCUUUCAUGGUUCGGCUGUAAAUUUUCAAGAAAAGGGGCAUGGUGAAAUUUUCCUUCUUCACGCUUCUGCUUAUCUAUGCAAACUGGUGGAGACCCCUCUUGCAUGCGGAAUUCAAUGGCUGCUCAUUCUUUCUUCUCUUUUGCUCUGUCGUGAAGUAACCACCACGGAAGGGAGGGUAUUUCUUUAUCUUCUUGCUCUCUUAUACAGAAAUCGAUUCUGACUGGGGCUCUCCCCCUUGCAGGCAGCCUAAAAACCGUACAUUGAAGAGUGGAAUGGGAGGGGAUUGGAGCAUCUUUGGGCCACGGUUUCCUCCAGCCGAAUUGUACACAUUGGGUGUCCCUCCAAUAGAAGUGCACGUAACUCUUGUUAAGUGAGCUGAAUUUUGGUGCUGUUGAUUAUUGCUUGGACCCAAGGAGGACUUAGAAGCAUGUGAAGAAGUAUUUGAUGACGUGAUUUCAUGGAAAUGAAUUGAUUGAGUUUUACUGUUUGGGAUAUCCUAUUGUUUAAUUGAUGUUUCUGUUGGAAGUAUAAUGUAUAUUCAGCUUUGAUGUAGCCUUUUAAGGAUGGCAGUUUAUUAUGUGCAUUCUGUCUUGAAAUGAUUUGUGACAUGAUAUUUUCAUAACGUCGGAAUUUAGGUGAUUCUAAAAAUUAAAGUGUCAAACCGAUUUCUGUU